UACGAAGGGGACUAGCGUUGUUCGGAAUCACUGGGCGUAAAGCGCACGUAGGCGGAUGUGUCAGUCAGGGGUGAAAUCCCGGGGCUCAACCUCGGAACUGCCUUUGAUACAGCACGUCUCGAGUCCGGAAGAGGUGGGUGGAAUUCCUAGUGUAGAGGUGAAAUUCGUAGAUAUUAGGAAGAACACCGGUGGCGAAGGCGGCGCUCUGGACCGAGACUGACGCUGAGGCGCGAAAGCGUGGGGAGCAAACAGG
rnacentral:rRNA from 1 species